rnacentral:rRNA from 1 species
GCUGGCGGCAGGCUUAACACAUGCAAGUCGAACGAUGACUCUCUAGCUUGCUAGAGAUGAUUAGUGGCGGACGGGUGAGUAACAUUUAGGAAUCUGCCUAGUAGUGGGGGAUAGCUCGGGGAAACUCGAAUUAAUACCGCAUACGACCUACGGGUGAAAGGGGGCGCAAGCUCUUGCUAUUAGAUGAGCCUAAAUCAGAUUAGCUAGUUGGUGGGGUAAAGGCCCACCAAGGCGACGAUCUGUAACUGGUCUGAGAGGAUGAUCAGUCACACCGGAACUGAGACACGGUCCGGACUCCUACGGGAGGCAGCAGUGGGGAAUAUUGGACAAUGGGGGCAACCCUGAUCCAGCCAUGCCGCGUGUGUGAAGAAGGCCUUUUGGUUGUAAAGCACUUUAAGCAGGGAGGAGAGGCUAAUGGUUAAUACCCAUUAGAUUAGACGUUACCUGCAGAAUAAGCACCGGCUAACUCUGUGCCAGCAGCCGCGGUAAUACAGAGGGUGCGAGCGUUAAUCGGAAUUACUGGGCGUAAAGCGAGUGUAGG